ACUGCACACAGUCACUGAGUACAGACUGGCUGGUUCCUGUAAAGGGAGAGGCAGCAAAACCAGACAAACAGGUGCAGGAACAGGCGGAGAAACACCUGAAAAACAAGAAGUUCAACGUCAUUUUCCAGAAGUGAAAGUGUGAGAGAGCAGCAGCAGAGCUGCAGUUGAGUCCUGUUUGUCUCGUUGAGUCCUGUUUGUCUCUAAAAGAAGAUUCACCGGAGUCCAUCAGGUUUCUCUCAGCAACAGUGGAAAACUCCUGACAUUUCUUGGUCCUUCGAGCCGGAUGGGACACAGCACUUUUGUGUGACCCCACAGGAAAACCUCAUCGAGUCCUGACGUCGUGAGAAGCCCACGCUGAAGUCUGUCGACAGCUCCUGUCCAGGUACAGGAUAAAGUCCAGAGACGUGAAUUCGGGUUCUGGCCAGCGUUCUUAUAAGUGGUCCACGGCGGUGGGGGUCGAUGAGGUAGACCUGAGAGACCGGCAGCAACCAGGUGAUCCAGGUGAUCGAUAUAUGUAUUUUUUUUGUCUGCUUAUUCUGUUGGUUUUGUUUUUUGCCCUUUUCCCCGUCCCUCUUCCCCGCUGUUUUUCUUUCCUCUUUCUUUCUCCCUUUCUUUCCCCAGUUAAGUCUGUCCCGUAUUCAGCAAGUGAAAAUAAAAUAAACAAUAAAGGUGAAUCAAAUGGACCAUUACGGCAAGGCUGGGAUGGUCAAUUU
ensembl:lncRNA